UACGGAGGAUGCGAGCGUUAUCCGGAUUUAUUGGGUUUAAAGGGUGCGUAGGCGGCCUGUUAAGUCAGCGGUGAAAUCUAGGAGCUUAACUCCUAAAUUGCCAUUGAAACUGGCGGGCUUGAGUGUAGAUGAGGUAGGCGGAAUGCGUGGUGUAGCGGUGGAAUGCAUAGAUAUCACGCAGAACUCCAAUUGCGAAGGCAGCUUACUAAGGUACAACUGACGCUGAAGCACGAAAGCGUGGGUAUCAAACAGG
rnacentral:rRNA from 1 species